UACUUCCUUUGAUUUGGACAACUCAUCACCCACUUCCUCUAAUGUGUGCACUCAUCACCACAAGUGUUGCCCACAUCCCACAUCUAGAAUGCACCACCUUAGUGAUGAUGAAACCCAUGUGCCUUGGAAAUAAGGCUAAGAUGCACCAAUUCCUAUCCAUUGGAUCAAAAUGUGUCUACUUGAUCCUAACCAUUCAUUCUCUUAUAAAUAGAACCAAGGUGGAAGAUGCAAUGCCCAUUAAGCUUCACUCACACACACACCUAAGGCCAAGAGAGAAAAUUGUGGGAUUUGUGUAGUCUUGUGUUGUUCAAGGCUUGAAGUGUAUGCUAGGAAGUAUUUUGGAAAAGAAGUUUAAAGGAACUACACGAAGAAGAAGGUUACGAAGGCAAGGAGUAUCAGGGUUGUCCAGACCUUUAGGCGAUCUUGAUAACAGUAUCUGAGGCUAGGAUGCCUCUCAUUUUGUGGACUACUAUGUCUAGUCCAUUAUUAUUAUUUUAUUCGGUGAACAAUAUUUAUAUUUUGUUUGUAGUUUUCUGUGUUUAUAACAUUUUAUGUUGACAAGAUUGCCAAAUUUCUAUGUAUUAUUUUGUGUCAUUACGGACACC